ACCCACAACGGCCAAGGCCCGGCUACAGCGCGUCCACGAAGCCCACGUACUGAGCCAGGACGGGGCUCUCCCUCUCGAUGUAGGGGACUACCCACUGCUCCGCCACCCAGUGAGGCAGCUAAUUAAGAAAGCCACCUUCAGGAUGUCUUUCAAGAAUCUAGCCUGGAAGAAAGUCAUGUAAGAGAACCCUGCAUCAAAAAGUCGGGAGGCCGGGCGGAGUCGCCGUUAAACGUCUCGGGAAAGCCACCAGGUGGGCCGGCGAACGCUCCCGGGCCAGCAGCGCCAUCUUCUUGAAAACCUCUGCACCAUGACAGCCAAGUGGAGAAAGAAGUGAAUGCAUAGGCUGAAAUGCAAAAGAAGAAAAGUGAGGCAGAGGUCCAAGUAAACUGCUAGCUUGUGCACCCAUGGAGGCCACAGCAGCAGAAACAUGAAGUGCCAGAGGCUGGGGAUGCUGGCACAAGUUGUUGGACUGCAUGCUACUGUCUAGAGCUUGUCUCAAUGGAUCUAGAACUUUCAUUGCCAUCUGAUCACUGAGACCACCUCUGAGACCCACCUUGCUCAUAAUCAAAUCUGUCCAUCUUGGGUUUUUGCCCUGGAACUGUGACAU
rnacentral:lncRNA from 1 species